CUGCGGGGUGCAGCAGUGAGGAAUAUUGCACAAUGGGGGGAACCCUGAUGCAGCAACGCCGCGUGGAGGAUGACGCAUUUCGGUGUGUAAACUCCUUUUAUAUGUCAAGAAAAUGACGGUAGCAUAUGAAUAAGCACCGGCUAACUCCGUGCCAGCAGCCGCGGCAAUACGGAGGGUGCAAGCGUUACUCGGAAUCACUGGGCGUAAAGGACGCGUAGGCGGGUUGGAAAGUCAGGUGUGAAAUCCUACAGCUUAACUGUAGAACUGCACUUGAAACUUCUAAUCUAGAGUAUGGGAGGGGGAGAUGGAAUUAGUGGUGUAGGGGUAAAAUCCGUAGAUAUCACUAGGAAUACCUAAAGCGAAGGCGAUCUCCUGGAACAUUACUGACGCUAAGGCGUGAAAGCGUGGGGAGCAAACAGGAUUAGAUACCCUAGUAGUC
rnacentral:rRNA from 1 species